UACCUGCAGCUCGAGUGGUGGCCGCUAUUAUUGGGCCUAAAACGUCCGUAGCCGGCUUAUUAAAUGCCUGGGUAAAUCGUACGACUCAAUCGUACGAAUUCCGGGUAGACUGAUAGGCUUGGGACCGGGAGAAGCUAGAGGUACUCCUGGGGUAGAGGUGAAAUUCUGUAAUCCUAGGGGGACCACCAGUGGCGAAGGCGUCUAGCUAGAACGGGUUUGACGGUGAGGGACGAAGCCCUGGGGAGCAAACGGG
rnacentral:rRNA from 1 species